UGAGCACAGACAGACCUAAUGGACCUC
rnacentral:piRNA from 1 species